rnacentral:rRNA from 1 species
CCUACGGGGGGCAGCAGUGAGGAAUAUUGGUCAAUGGGCGCGAGCCUGAACCAGCCAAGUAGCGUGAAGGAUGACUGCCCUACGGGUUGUAAACUUCUUUUAUAAAGGAAUAAAGUGAGGCACGUGUGCCUUUUUGUAUGUACUUUAUGAAUAAGGAUCGGCUAACUCCGUGCCAGCAGCCGCGGUAAUACGGAGGAUCCGAGCGUUAUCCGGAUUUAUUGGGUUUAAAGGGCGCGUAGAUGGGUUUUUAAGUCAGUUGUGAAAGUUUGCGGCUUAACCGGAAAAUUGCAAUUGAUACUGGCAGGCUUGAGUAGAGUUGAGGUAGGCGGAAUUCCUGGUGUAGCGGUGAAAUGCUUAGAUAUCACGAAGAACUUCGAUUGCGAAGGCAGCUUACUAAACUGCCACUGACAUUGAUGCUCGAAAGUGUGGGUAUCAAACAGGAUUAGAUACCCGGGUAGUC